rnacentral:sRNA from 1 species
ACCCAAAAAAAACGAAAAAAAAA